GGAGGAUCCGAGCGUUAUCCGGAUUUAUUGGGUUUAAAGGGAGCGUAGGUGGAUUGUUAAGUCAGUUGUGAAAGUUUGCGGCUCAACCGUAAAAUUGCAGUUGAAACUGGCAGUCUUGAGUACAGUAGAGGUGGGCGGAAUUCGUGGUGUAGCGGUGAAAUGCUUAGAUAUCACGAAGAACUCCGAUUGCGAAGGCAGCUCACUGGACUGCAACUGACACUGAUGCUCGAAAGUGUGGGUAUCAAACAGGAUUAGAUACCCUGGUAGUCCACACAGUAAACGAUGAAUACUCGCUGUUUGCGAUAUACAGUAAGCGGCCAAGCGAAAGCAUUAAGUAUUCCACCUGGGGAGUACGCCGGCAACGGUGAAACUCAAAGGAAUUGACGGGGGCCCGCACAAGCGGAGGAACAUGUGGUUUAAUUCGAUGAUACGCGAGGAACCUUACCCGGGCUUAAAUUGCAAAUGAAUAAUCUGGAAACAGGUUAGCCGCAAGGCAUUUGUGAAGGUGCUGCAUGGUUGUCGUCAGCUCGUGCCGUGAGGUGUCGGCUUAAGUGCCAUAACGAGCGCAACCCUUAUCUUUAGUUACUAACAGGUCAUGCUGAGGACUCUAGAGAGACUGCCGUCGUAAGAUGUGAGGAAGGUGGGGAUGACGUCAAAUCAGCACGGCCCUUACGUCCGGGGCUACACACGUGUUACAAUGGGGGGUACAGAAGGCAGCUACCUGGUGACAGGAUGCUAAUCCCAAAAGCCUCUCUCAGUUCGGAUCGAAGUCUGCAACCCGACUUCGUGAAGCUGGAUUCGCUAGUAAUCGCGCAUCAGCCAUGGCGCGGUGAAUACGUUCCCGGGCCUUGUACACACCGCCCGUCAAGCCAUGAAAGCCGGGGGUACCUGAAGUACGUAACCGCAAGGAGCGUCCUAGGGUAAAACUGGUAAUUGGGGCUAAGUCGUAACAAGGUAGCCGUACCGGAAGGUGCGGCUG
rnacentral:rRNA from 1 species